rnacentral:rRNA from 1 species
ACGGGAGGCAGCAGUGGGGGAUAUUGGACAAUGGGGGCAACCCUGAUCUAGCGACGCCGCGUGAGGGAAGAAGGUUUUCGGAUUGUAAACCUCUGUUGAUGGGGAAAAUAAUGAUGGUACCCAUUUAGAAAGCCACGGCUAACUACGUGCCAGCAGCCGCGGUAAUACGUAGGUGGCAAGCGUUGUCCGGAAUUACUGGGUGUAAAGGGAGCGUAGGCGGGACUGCAAGUCAGAAGUGAAAAUUAUGGGCUCAACUCAUAACCUGCUUUUGAAACUGUAGUUCUUGAGUGAAGUAGAGGCAAGCGGAAUUCCUAGUGUAGCGGUGAAAUGCGUAGAUAUUAGGAGGAACACCAGUGGCGAAGGCGGCUUGCUGGGCUUUUACUGACGCUGAGGCUCGAAAGCGUGGGGAGCAAACAGGAUUAGAUACCCUGGUA